GGCCCGGUUGGACGGUCUGCCUUUGGGUUUGUACUGUCCUGACUGGGCCUUACCUUCUGGUGAGCUGUCGUGUUGUUUACUCAGCGCGGCAGGGAACCAGGACUUUUACUUUGAAAAAAUUAGAGUGUUUAAAGCAGGCAUUCGCUUGAAUACAUUAGCAUGGAAUAAUAGAAUAGGACU
rnacentral:rRNA from 1 species